AAGGCAGAUGCUUAACCGACUGAACCACCCAGCUUCCCCUGGCAUCUCACCAUCUGAUUGGCCUCGUACCCAGGAGCACCCUGGGAAAGAAUUUGAAUGUUCUUGGCAGUUGAGAUUCAGACCUUGACAGUUGUAGCUGAUGGAUUGGGUGGGGGCACAGCUGAUGAACCUCACAUUCCUGAGAGAGAUCAUCCAAACUUUCUAGAAGUCAUUAAGAGGGCCCUGGCUAACUGAGGAGACUCAUACAGAAACCCCUGUCUGUAUCACAGCUACAUCAUUACUGAGCUCCUCUAACCUGGCCACCCCUGACGAGGAUUAUCAUGGGCCUCAGAGAAGAAAGGAAACCAAAAAGCCAUCAACAACAAAUUGAAAACUGAAGUUGAAACGCAAAUCUGAAGAUUUGGAGUAAGAAUUAUAGUUCAUGGUUGCAUUCACCUGUGCUCACCCAGCCUGAGGGGUGUGUGUCUUUAUGAAGUUGAGCCUCUCAGAGUUAGCAUUUCAGUGGUGAAUACAGAAGACAAAACCAGUAUAGAACAAGUAACAUGGAAAGAGAAGAAGAGACAGUACUAGAUACAGAACAGACAACAGGAGGAGAAAACUCAGACUUUGGCAAAGCCACAUUACCCAAUGGGGCUGCAGGGAAUGUCAGCGAGGGGCAGGUGGGAUCGGCAGUCUGACCCCGCAGACAUGUAUUGUGCUCCUGCUGUGUGCCAAGAGAGGAGAUGUGCAAGUGUGCAAGCGGGCGGUGGACAGGCUCACCAUCGAGGAGCCCUGGCCUGGAGGGAGAGAUGGGAUUUCAGCCCACGGAGGCGAAAUGCUGAUGUGCUGCGAGGAGUAGGAAAAUAAUUCAUCCGGCCUGACUGUAUUCGUCACCACAUAGCUGGUGUGGUUGUCUCAUGUAAGCAUCAAGAAGAUAGGAAGCUAAAUCAACAGACCUUGAUUUGUUGGCUCAACCAAGUAUAAACUAGCCACUGGAAAAUCAAGUUGAAAACAUAGGACAAAUAUAUGAAAGAGACAAGCCACAGCUUGCAGGGAAGAAAAUGUUUGCAGAAAACUCCAGCAUUACAGGUUUAUCUAAGGUGUGGUCUCAGGUAAGCCCCAGUAAUUACCCAGGACACCACAGCUAGUGGCUGAAAAAUGAAGGGCUUCACAGACUUAACCCUUUCACUCCUCCUCUAGACAAUCUCAUAGGGGAAUUCACACGAUAGACAGCUUAGAUUAAACUGGAAUUGUUUUUAUUGUGAUUGAAAUUGUUUUUAAUCAUUCCUACUAUGGUGUGCCAAAGAUAUUUCUUAACUGUGGCCUUUAGCUUGUUCUUUCUCUAAUUGUAGUCAUCUAGGACUUAAUUUUAUGAUGUAUCACAGUUGAAGACCUCACCUCACCUGGGGGCUUUUUGGGAAGCAAAAACAGUUAAAAAUUGCAUUCUGAUCUGGUCUCUGGCUUGAGUGUCAAGUAUGGCUGUGAUGGAGAGAGAAACAGGUGGAAAAAAUUUUAUGCUUCUUAGCCAUCACCACUGGUGAAUCACUCUGGACCAAUUCUUCAUAAGCCCACACAAUUUGGCCUUCUUCUCUUUCAGAUGAUGUGAAUGGUGAUGAUUUGCCUACACGAGGCAGUAGUGAAAGAAAACUGGGAUAAUACUGAGCACACAUUACACAUUGUAUUCCAAUCUAUAUUUACUACACAUACACCCCAAGUUUCUUUGGCAGAAGCAGAAGGACUAAGGGAAAACUGUCUAUUGGCCUAUCAACUAUAGAGGUGGCACCUAAAAGAAACAAGCCAAGAGAUGGUAUUUACAAGGCCCAAGAAACAUCUGAGUAUCAGGAUGCAGCACUCCCCACACCAUCCCUGCCCCAUUGCAGGGCUGCCAGCCUUAGAG